GGCCCGACUGAAUGUGCGCAUCUGCCGAUAUCAGGGGCUUGGACGCGACUUCGCGUGCCUCGAUAUAUGUGGGUUUCGGAUCUUUCCAUGAAGACAGAUAUGGCUGAUCAACCCCUUUCCUCAUCAACUUCUUCAGAAAGAAUGGAGAAUGGUGACUGGUUGGUGAGAUGAGUGCUCACUGGGACAUCUAUUCUUUCUACGGGGCCUGAUGCAAAUUGGUACUUGGUUCCAUUUAAUAGGCAUUGCCCACUUGAUUGUUUGCAGGUGGAAUGCCGGAAACAGAACAUUUUGAGAAUGCAGAUGACAAAGAAAUAUCUCCAACACUGUGUCAUGGCACAAUGAAGGUUUUGCCCUUCAAUCUGACAUUUGAGAGUUGGGUGGAGAAAACGAGUCUCACACAAUGGGUGCGUUGAUGGGUUUGCUGUCUUGAAAAUAUCCUUUCAAAUAGGAUUUUCCUGAGCUACCCUAUGAGUAUUUUAUUUCCGGUUAGAUGUAGCAGAGCAUCAGUCCAAUGCAUAUCACGCUGACAUUUUAUCUUACAUUUCUUUUUGAAAGUGGUGCUAUCCCUGAAUUCAUUCCUUUUCCGUCCGGCUUUCAUAAUGACCUUGCUAAGAACUAAAGCUCCAAGGUGUGAAAAUUGAAUAAAUAGGAAGAAAGUGGUAGCCUAGUAGCUUGUGAGCAUUCUUCAUCCUACAAAGAAAAGCUGAUAAUAGAAGGUGUUUACUACGAACCUCCAUCAGCGGUGCAUGUAUAUCUCAAUUCUGAACAGAAGCAAGACUGCCUUCUAAAUUCUUUUCUUAAGAAAAUGGUUUUGGAUUCUAUUUGUGUCCUA
rnacentral:sRNA from 1 species